rfam:Candida arabinofermentans NRRL YB-2248 unplaced genomic scaffold CANARscaffold_2, whole genome shotgun sequence.
GGUCCUAUAGUGUAGUGGUUAUCACUUCUGAUUCUGAUUCAGGCAACCCCGGUUCGAAUCUGGGUAGGACCU